UACGAGGGGAGCAAGCGUUGUCCGGAAUCAUUGGGCGUAAAGAGCGUGUAGGCGGCCAGAAAAGUCCGCUGUGAAAACUCGAGGCUCAACUUCGAGCUGUCGGUGGAAACUUUCUGGCUAGAGUCCGGAAGAGGAGAAUGGAAUUCCUGGUGGUAGCGGUGAAAUGCGCAGAUAUCAGGAGGAACACCGGUGGCGAAGGCGGGUCUCUGGGCCGAUACUGACGCUGAGGAGCGAAAGCGUGGGGGAGCGAACAGG
rnacentral:rRNA from 1 species